CCUACGGGGGGCAGCAGUGAGGAAUAUUGGUCAAUGGCCGAGAGGCUGAACCAGCCAAGUCGCGUGAGGGAAGACGGCCCUACGGGUUGUAAACCUCUUUUGUCGGGGAGCAAAGCGAGUCACGUGUGACUCAUUGAGAGUACCCGAAGAAAAAGCAUCGGCUAACUCCGUGCCAGCAGCCGCGGUAAUACGGAGGAUGCGAGCGUUAUCCGGAUUUAUUGGGUUUAAAGGGUGCGCAGGCGGAGGUGCAAGUCAGCGGUCAAAUUGCGGGGCUCAACCCCGUACUGCCGUUGAAACUGCAUCCC
rnacentral:rRNA from 1 species